GCACGCUCAGUACGAGCACGUGGCGAGGAGCUCUACGUCGCCACCUCGGAUUCGCUCCUCCAGCUCGGCCUCACGGGUAGCUCUGCAGAACCACUCGUCUUUCUUUGCAAGGUUCGGGAGCCCUGUUAGAGCCAAGGAGCUUCGAGCACGGUCCUCCCUCCUUCCUUGCACAGAGAUUUGAGAGUGGAUGAUGGAGCAGCUCGUCGACCGAAGGACGUAACAGGAGAAUCAGGAUGACCUCGCCGGCCACCACGUCGUGGAUCUGCGCCGUCACGACCGUCGCCGGCCGCUGCGUCGUCGAUCUGCUCCAGCCCGACCGUCGCUAGCCGCCGCCUCGUCACGGCACGCCGCCCCGACCGGCCCCGGCUGCCGCGUCGUCGACUCGCCUUGCCUCGACCGGAUUGAAGACGACGUUACCGGGCUCCAUCCGCUGUCGGCCGCCACGUCGUGGAUCUGGGCCGUCCCGCCCGUCGCCGGCUGCCGCGUCAUGGAUUUGCGGCGUCCCGACUGUCGCCGGCCGCCGCCUCGACGCGCCGCGCCCCCCCGACUGUCACCGGCCGCUGCCCCGACAAGCCCUGGCCGCUGAGUUGUCGGCCCGCCUUGCUCCGACCGGACUGAAGCCGCCGUUGCUUCGCCCCAUCUGCCACCGUUGCGACGCCGUGCCCGCCGCCGCCUUCGGCGCUAGAUCUGGUGUGAGCGGCGGCGGAGGAGAGGGGAAGAGGGCAAUAUUGUUAUAACAUGAGAUUUUUGAAGCCUUCUUUUGCAUAUACGUUGCUAUAGUCCUAUUUACAAUAAAAUAAAGGGUGUACUUAUAAAUAAAAGGGACUAAAAUAUAAAAUGAUGAUGAUCCUACCAUCAAGUGAUCUGCACCGUGAGC
rnacentral:lncRNA from 1 species